UACAAAACAGUGUCCAAAGGCAUGUGUGUAAGAGCUUAGGAAUUCCCUCUCUCGGGGCAGUUCCUCUGGUUGAUGUCUACCAGGGUACAACGCACUAAAUCAGAGGAGAAGGGAAUGCGGAGGGGGUGGGGGCGCGGGUGAGUUUCUCCUUCAGGCAUGGAUAUUAAUUAGAGUUUUCCAGGAGGAUAAAGCCCCUCUUUGUUUUACAUUUUUCAGGCCAAGAAAACACUGUGUUUGGGCUGUUUUUCGCCUUAUUGUGUUCAGCUCACCGUUGCUAAGGAAGUGUCCAGGAGUUGUAUUACUAUUUAAACUGUUUAAUAGGGUCGUGUUUUGCAAGCGCUCCACGGAUCGACAUUAAGUCUAAGGCAGGGUAUAAUAUCGUUAAUGUGAUACGGUGUGGCACAUGUUUUGAGGGUAAUUGGGCAACUUUAUUUUGCAGGUGUCAGCUCAGCAUCCAUGUGGUCUGACUUCCUAGUAAGUAAUGAAACUCGAGCGGUUAAAAUGAGGGCCCAGAUUUCAUCUGCUCCACACGGUUCUUGCUCCCCCAUACCCCUCAUUAAAUGAGAACGACCUCCCCAAAGCCCUUUGCUCCUUUUCUUCUCUGUCUCUUUGUCCUCCUGGCCCGUUCGCUGCUGGCUGGGACCCUGAAGGGCGCAGAGUCACACUGUUGGGGACACCCAUGUUGUGGAAGAGAUUCAUUUGGAAUUGAUGACGGGUGUGGCGCCGGUACUAGCAGUGCCCACACCUUUCAGGCAUUGUCUGGGCUGCUUUUUAUACCUGGGGGGGGGGGCUCUCUGCGUGAGUCUGCGCUCCAGCUGGCCCCGCCGCUCUCCGCUGGAUGCCAGGACAGACGCCCGCGCGUCGGGGUGGGCUGUUGAAGUGUGCGCAAAUGACAACAAUGCCAUGCUUUUUCGGUGGCGUAUCGUGAAGCGGGGCGGAUUAAUGCAGGGAAAAAAAACAGCCCCAGGAGACAGAAUUCCCAUUGUGUACAGGCCUGACAGCUUUGGGGGGCUCCAGUCUCGCAUCCACCCACAUCCAAAGAGAUGCCGCCCGCGCAAGGAUUACACUCUUUGGCGUGAUCCGGCCCCAGUUUAUAUAUCUGUAGUUUCAAUAGCUGAGGUCAUAAUGAUGGGAUUUGCAGAAUGAUGCUCCACGACGCAUGCGUCACCCGUAUCCGGAUCCGCUCCUAAGCAGACCGAGGAAGGGAAAGUAAACCCUCUCUUCAGGGUACGCUGGGCGUGUGAGGCGGCCGUUCCUGCCUGUCGGAAUACGCACGCCGCUCGCGAACCUGAAAUUAGCACGCGGCUUGUUGCUCAAUGGUUUUAAUUACAUGGUGAAGCCGGCGGUCGCAUUGAGUCGCGGGGACUUGCCCCUGCAGCCUUCACAGAGGCCCGGGUGUUGCACAGCUUCAACCGAAAGAGCCGGCUGCUGCAGAUAUCCUGCCAAGUUCAGGUUAAAUGCAAAAAUAUUUAAAUGCAAAAAUGAAAAACCUGCCGAACGAACAAAGGGAUUUCUGCUUGACGGAAGGGGCCGCGCGCGCCCUCUCUCGCGUCCCGGCGUUUUAGCGUAUCCUCUGCAAACAAAUUGUUUGUUGAGGUUUCUCCUCUCCUUAUGGGAGCUUGCAGGCAAGAAGCGUUAAGCAUCAAGCAGCCAAAAGCACACUUCGGAGUCUCGUCGGGGCUCGCCUUACUGUGAACCGAGCCAAGAAAUUGCCACACAAACAAACGUGCCUUUGACGAUUAUGCACCUUUUGUGUGCCGCCUUUACUGACAAAAAAAGGCAGUUAAAAAUGUUAUAGUUCCUUGCACUGCCCACCAGUUCCUUUUUCUAGUGGCUAAUUGCUGUGCUGGGCAGUAAUUAGGGACAUAUACUGUACACCACAGGCUCAAGGCCUGGGCCUGAAUCUUCUCUGCAAGGCAAAGAGUAGUCUAUGACCAAUCAGAGAGAUAACCUAUCAGAUUUCUAGAGGUGGGGGGUUCCAAACCACUACAGGAGGCGAGACCAAGACAUGAUUGGUUGGUCCCACCUUCUCUAGUUGCUUGGACCCACCACCUCCGCAGUCUGAUUGGUUAUCUCUCUGAACCAAUCAUUUUUCGUUCUGCCCUCAGAACAUUUUUCUGUAAGUAAAACUUCCAUGAACGGUGAGUUGUGGAUUCAAAGAAGCCUUCCUGCACACCACUGUUGUACUAGCCUGUUAUUUUUGCACUUGUGGCCUUCCUGUUAAGUUUAACGAGUCCGCUGAUUCUCCUCUGACCUCUCUCAUUAACAGGGUGUUCUCGGCACCAGAAGCACUGCUGAUUGGAUGUUUUUUUUUUCACUAUUCUUCGUAAAUCCUACACACUGAAAAUCCCAGAAGGGAGGCUGCUUCUGCGAUGCUGGACCCACGGUGUCUGGCGCCAAUAAUCGCGCCACAAAACCACUUAGAUCAGGCGUCUCGGCCGCUCUGUUGCUUCGAGUCGAACAGUAAGUGGAGCUGUCAGCAUUCUGUAUGAAUCCAGUCAGAAACCACGAUUCACUGCUUGGAGGAGCAGGCUAUUCGUGUUAGCAAGCAGGCGUAGCUAAUGAACUGCCCAUUGCGCGUGUUUAAUAUUAUAUAAUUACAAAGAGGUAGCGGGUUGGCUUAGUAGGUAGCAGUGUGGCCUCACACCUUCAGAACUGGGUCUGCAUCUGCUGGUGUUGAGUGCUGGUGCUGGUUUUUUCCAUGUACACUGCAUUGCUCCCAUAGUCUGAUAACUUGGCUGUAGGUGUGUGGGUGACUGCCCACGGUGUGUGUGUGUGUGUGUGUCCUGCGAUGGACUGGCAUACUGUCCCAGGUGUCCCCCUGCCUGGUGCCCUCCCCUUCCUGCCACAGGCUGUGGGCUCCCUGCGUCCCUCUGCUGGGCAGCAAGUAAGGGAGAUGGAUGGAUUAUGUAAGAAAUUCAAUUGACGUGAGCUCGGCUGAUGGCUCUGCCUUCCGGAGCGACUCCUGUCCUGCGGGGUAAUGAACGCUCCUUCAAGCCUGACAGCGUUCGUUCUCAGUGAGCGAGUUGCCGCCGGUGACAAGUCCCUCCUCCCCCUCCUCUAACUCCGGAGAGCGUCGUCCCUCUGCCGGUGAUUUGAGUGACCGCCAGUGAUGGGAAGGCAGUGGCGGCGUGAAUUCCCUUGCUGGGCCGCGCCGCGGUAAUUACCUCGCUCACGUCUGGCUGACUGGACGGCCGGGCGUCUGCCGUCGCCGGUGCCGGUGCCUCGCUCACGUCUGAGCGCCGUUUUUCCAAGGCGGGCCUGUCGAGCCCACCGCAUCCUGCAGGGAAUGACAUCGGACCGCUUCGGGGGACAUGGGCAACGCCUUUCCUGGGAGUGGAUUUAACACGCAGAAAAAAGUGCACGCUUUUGCAUUGGCUCAGCGUCAUGCGCUUGAAAUGGGCAGGUGCUGCAUUAUACAGUCAGCUCAGCUGCCCCUGGAAUUCAAGGUCUGCAGAUUCCCCGCUAAAGCGUCCUGCAUGAGAAACUGCUUUGUUCUUCCUCAUUAACACUCCGCACAGAGACAUCAAAUCAAAUCACUUUAUUUAUCGUGUCCCUUCAUAUUUGUUAAGUGCAGCUGAGUGCAAAACUCACGUGCAAGAGUAACAAGAGCAGCGAUGAAAUAACUAAUUCAAGGAUUCUUGGGGCUUAUCUGUCAGGUCAAGGUGUGCAUGCAGUUCAACUGUAACCUCCAGUGAAAAAUUUGUAAUAAAAAAGGACCAGGAAAUUCAGUUAAUUUCUAGUUGUACAGGUAAUAAGAGAACAGGAAUAGAUUAUUGUCAUUGCUCUGCGGUACAACUAGAUUAAGGUACGUUUUCUUGAUCGGUGCUAAAAAGAGUGAUUAUAAAAGGACAAAAAAAUUAGUGCAAACACCACAGGUGUGGUGUAUCGCAAGUGUAGUGCAAAUAAAGCAAUAGUCCAAAUAGGAAGUACGCAAAAACGGUACGGCACAGGAGUAACGAAAAGCGUGCAAAUUAGAACAGUGAGUGCAAUAAAUACAACGAAUGGCUAUAUGAGUGUGAGCGGGGAUCAGCAUGGACGUGUCUCAAUUCGAAAUCAUCUAGACAUAUCUCUAAAGCGCCCACAAACCAUUUUUAAUAGCGAAAUUCUUUUUAGCAGCAUGGACCUUGCUCGCAGUCUGCCACUGUGCUCACAGUAGUAAUUACAGUAAUUGCUAACUUUGCUGUUUAACAUUUAGACUUUAGGCUUAGUGCUGAUACACCAUGGCCCAGCCUACGGAAAAUUACGGGCCAGCGUGCGGUUCCUGGGUGCCUCCCGUUUUGGGGACUCGGGGUAUGUUGUACAGGGAAGGUCCCCAGUAAUUUCGUUUCACGUACUUCUCUCUGCCUCAAUGGUAGGGCAAACGGGAGAGCGCCACCUGUUGGUCACAUAAAGAAGGACAGCCUUGGGGAGCAGGAACGUGUUGCCAGGUUAGUGUCUCCAUGAUCAGAGGGCCAGUGACCCAGCGCUGUUCAUUUCCUUUGCUUUCACUCUCAAUCAGAGUUAGAGGUGCAACUUCGCUUUUCUCUCGAUUUACACAACCUUCUGACGUCACCAGAAGGUACAACAGCAUUUCCCUUCUCUUCCCCAAUCGUGUGCCAGUUCUUUAACCACUGAAUCAGCCUCCGCUCAGGAAGGAGGCUGGGUUUGCCUGCCGGAAGCUGGAGAUUUCUCAGUGCCACAGAGACGUGGGAAGCAAAUAAAAUGGUGUCAGUUCAGGACUGGCCUAAAUAAAGAGUCAUAUCUGGGUCAUUAUCAUUUGCCAAGCGGCUUACAGUUACUGCAUCUUAUUCUUCGCAGUGAUGUUUGCAGUUUUAAUUCUUGUUCUGAGCACGACUCCGUUCAGAGUGUACUUUUAUAUGUUCUGUCGUAACCUUGGAUCAGAAAUACCAGUCACAAAGAUGACCGAAGAUUUCACAGUAUAGUCAGGAACAAAACUGCCUUUAUUCCUCGACAGUGCCGAGAUUUCUACAAACAGUCACUCAGGGUCAGUGGCAUUUGAGGAGCGCUAUAUGAAAUAAUUGAACUGAAUUAAAUAAACUGUCCUGCCUCCCUGACCAGGAUGAGCAAAUGGAAGUCGGACGGAAUACACUGUGAGACGGAUUUUAUUCAUAAUACUAAUUACCCAUUAUUGGGUCAACAAGGAAAUAUUUCCAGAAAAGGUGUUUUGAGAAAUGGCUGGAGGGAGGUGAGGGUAUGAGUCUGGUUUUUUUUUUUUGCUCUCAUUUUUGGUACAGCAGUAAUUCCAUCUACAAAUAGAUUGGAGGUUACUGAGGGAAUACAGGAUGAGAGAGGAUUUGCCACAGUCAGCCUUAUAUAAAACCUAUAUAUCACAAAUGCUCAUUUAGCAAAAUAACACAACUUCUGGAAACCAUCUAUGCUAUGCGUCGUAAUUCAACCGUCGUUUUCCUACAGUUCAUCCUUGUAUUUUUUUUCCCUCUGUACAUGCAAUUAUAGAUGCGCAUAAAAAGAAAAUAUAUAUGUCUGCACAAUUUGUAGCAGUGCUAGCGGUGCCAGCUGAGCACCGUUGUGUCAGCGGAGGAGACGCCGAGCAUGUGACCGCUGCAGAAACAGCCGAGGUUUGGCCGCUCGUAUCUGGGACAACCCUGAGGCCUGCUGCUCCUGCGGUAGCCGUGCUGGGCCUUCUCGCCCUAGCUUUGGCAGAAUCCCUGAGUCGGCAUGAGGGUAAAAACAGAGGGCCUUACAUGGACAGUAAAGGGAGCUAUCUUAGGAGGCUGAGAAGGCCUCGCUUCCUCCACCGGCCAGCCAGGGCUGUUAAAGAGCACCGAGACGCGUUACAGUGAGCCGGCGAGCUCGCGGAUGGGUCAUUCGGCAGCUGAUUGUCUUUGUGUGCAGGUCCCUUGUUGGGAGCGAUUCUCCGCAUGAGUGCAAUUUGGAUUCCACCAGUGGGGGACAAAGGGAACCAGUUACACAAUGAAAGGGGACGGCUGCCUUUUUAGUAGCAGUCUGUGUGAGUGUGGAUUAGGUUUAUAUCACUCUGGAGGGGACAAAAUGUCCCCACAAUGUAAUAAAAGCCUGUGUGUGUGUGUGUGUGUGUAUGUGUGUGUGUGUGUGUGUACGUGCCCUUGUGUGCGUCUGUGUGUAUUUUUAUUUGAAAGGAAGGCUUCAAUUUCACAGCGCGUUUGAUCUACCGUUUUAGCUCAUAUGUCAUUAAAGGAAGCAGGAAUAUCACUUAAAAAAAGAAAACAAGGAGUAUACACGCAUGCACACACACGCAUGCACACACACGCAUGCACACACACACAUGCACACACAUAGACAUGCAUGCACAGGCAUGCACAUACACAUGCAUAUAGAGACACACAUGUACACACACAUGCACAGACAUGUAUGCACGCACACGCACCUGUGCACACUGACUCACACAGACAUGCAUGCACUGACACUAACAUACACACAGACACGCAUGCAUGGAUAUAUGCACACACACAGAUACGCAGGCAUAGACACAUACAUGUAUUCAUGCACACUAACGCACAUGCACACACACUCAAAUCCAUACUCAUGCACGCCGCUGUAUCACAUUUCAGUCUGAGAGUGGCGGCACUAAAUUACAGAGCAGCUGCCCAUUUCCUGGUUCCCAGGCACGGUGCUUGGGGGGCUCACGCAGCAUCUGCGGAAGGGAAAAAUCCCCGUCAAAAUGCGGCGCUCAGGGCACUCACGCAGCAUCCGCGGAAAGGAAAAAUCGCCAUCAAUGCGCCAAGCCAAAGGUGCUCACACAGCAUCCGCGGAAGGGAAAAAUUCCCCAUCAAUGCUCGGUGCUCAGGGCACUCACGCAGCAUCCGUAGAAGGGAAAAAUCCCCGUCAAAAUGCGGCGCUCAGGGCACUCACGCAGCAUCCGCGGAAGGGAAAAAUCCCCGUCAAAAUGCGGCGCUCAGGGCACUCACGCAGCAUCCGUGGAAGGGAAAAAUCCCCGUCAAAAUGCGGCGCUCAGGGCACUCACGCAGCAUCCGCGGAAAGGAAAAAUCCCCGUCAAUGCUCGGCGCUAAAGGGGCUCAUGCAGCAUCCGCGGAAGGGAAAAAUUCCCGUCAAUGCGCGGCGCUAAAGGGGCUCAUGCAGCAUCCGCGGAAGGGAAAAAUUCCCGUCAAUGCUCGGCGCUAAAGGGGCUCACGCAGCAUCCGCGGAAGGGAAAAAUUCCCGUCAAUGCGCGGCGCUAAAGGGGCUCAUGCAGCAUCCGCGGAAGGGAAAAAUUCCCGUCAAUGCUCGGCGCUAAAGGGGCUCACGCAGCAUCCGCAGAAAGGAAAAAUUCCCAUCAAUGCUCGGUGCUAAAGGGGCUCAUGCAGCAUCCGCAGAAGGGAAAAAUUCCCGUCAAUGCGCGGCGCUAAAGGGGCUCACACAGCAUCCGCAGAAGGGCAAAAUUCCCCUCAAUGCUCGGCGCUAAAGGGGCUCACGCAGCAUCCGCAGAAGGGAAAAAUUCCCGUCAAUGCGCGGCGCUAAAGGGGCUCACGCAGCAUCCGCGGAAGGGAGAAAUUCCCCAUCAAUGCUCAGCGCUAAAGGGGCUCACGCAGCAUCCGCGGAAGGGAGAAAUUCCCCAUCAAUGCUCGGCGCUAAAGGGGCUUACGCAGCAUCCGCAGAAGGGAAAAAUUCCCGUCAAUGCGCGGCGCUAAAGGGGCUCACGCAGCAUCCGCGGAAGGGAGAAAUUCCCCAUCAAUGCUCAGCGCUAAAGGGGCUCACGCAGCAUCCGCAGAAGGGCAAAAUUCCCCUCAAUACUCGGCGCUAAAGGGGCUUACGCAGCAUCCGCGGAAGGGAAAAAUUCCCCUCAAUGCGCAGUGCUCAGGGCGCUCACACAACAUCCGCGGAAGGGAAAAAUUCCCAUCAAUGCACGGCGCUAAAUAAGUGAGCAGGAAGGUGGGCAAGUAGGUGGGUAGGUAGACAGUCAGGUAGGUGACUAGGUAGGGGGCAGGUAGGUGGGCAGAUAAGUGGGCAAGAAGGGAGGUCGGCGGGCAGAUAAGUGGGCAGGCAGGUGGGCAGACAGGGAGAUAAGUGGGCAGGAAGGCGGGCAGGUAGGUGGGCAGGGGGGUAGAUAUGUGAGCAGGCAGGCAGUAUAGUCAGACGUGCAUGCAGGUGAGUGAGCUAGACAGGCAGGCUGAUUUGGAUAAAACAAUGAGCUUGGUGAUAUUUGUAUUAUGACAGUCAGUUGGAAGGUAUUUCAGAAGCUCUCAUUCUGGGGCCUUCUUUCAUGUUCCCACGUGAAGAAGCACAUGCACAAAGCCGCACUCCUUCCCACCGCUGCGAGGGAAAGCGUGCCGGCUAUGUUUUCCACGAUCGCCUUUCAUAUGUCUUCGAGUCGUGUUGGCGUGGGGCUUGUAAUCGUAGCUCACGCUGGAGUGCAAGUCGGUGUGAGGUCCCUGCAGGGAUACAGCAAACAGACGUGUAUAUCCGCACACAGUCCCGCUCUCAGGGAAGCCUUUCAGUCCUGACAGGGUGGGGGGCUCAGGUUUGAGAAGCUAAUGGCUGUAGGGAGCAUGCUCCACAGCUUAACGGGCUCAGUCCCACAUAGCCCCCGCCACCACCACCCCACCUCAGCCGGGCCCUCGUGGAGGAGUGUGAUCGCAGGCUCCAUCGACAUCGAGGGACAUGUAACAGUUUAGGCGCUCCAGUUAUAGCAUCUCAACAUUUUUUUUUUUUUGGUUAGGCCCCACUGACUGCACAGCACUGACUCACUUCCCAUAUUUCUCAGGACCUGUUGCCUUUGGGCACUCUUCUAUAAGCUGAUUGGCCCGUUGAGUGCAUCCUACCCCUGUCAGUCAAUGAUUCAAAUCAUAUCAUUGGCCGACGAUAAGGUUGGUCCCUCUGUAUGAAUUAUGGCCCCUCAUUUAAAAAAAAAAAAAAUCUUAGAAUCGCCCCCCUGUCUGAGGCUUGUGUUUCCAGGGACGAGGGAUGGGAGGCUCCGCCCACCAGGGCAGCGCCAGGACGCGCUGGUUCUCCGGAAGCCUCCGUGGGAAACGCUCGCUCAGGACACAGGAAGCUUUUAAUCAGCAGCUAAUUAGCAGCUGGAGAAGUUUCGGCACGAUCCAGAAGGUGAGUACAUCAUCAUGGUGAAUGAAGUCACCAGCCCCCAUUCCGUGGUAGCACCCUGCCGUCUGCCUUCACCCUGCUCAGGGUGCCUCCCGCCAAGGCCCGCGGGCCAGCCGGACAGCAGCGCGAGAGCGUGUGAAGCCCAGCAGGAUCCCGCCACUUCAACUGGGUCCCCGUGAAGCCAGCGGAGUUCAUCCAGCUGCACUACGUCAUGUAACACUAAAGAAACUACUGCGGAUGCUCAAUAAACCCAGAGUGUCAACGGCCUGGCUGCUUAGACAGAACGGCAUGGGACAGAUCACAUGGCUGGGACUGAUCACAUGGCUGGGACUGAUCACAUGGCUGGGAUUGAUCACAUGGCUGGGACGGAUCACAUGGCUGGCAUUGAUCACAUGGCUGGCAUUGAUCACAUGGCUGGGACAGAUCACAUGGCUGGGAUUGAUCACAUGGCUGGGACUGACCACAUGGCUGGGAUUGAUCACAUGGCUGGGACUGAUCACAUGGCUGGGACAGAUCACAUGGCUGGGAUUGAUCACAUGGCUGGGACUGAUCACAUGGCUGGGAGUGAUCACAUGGCUGGGACUGAUCACAUGGCUGGGACAGAUCACAUGGCUGGGAUUGAUCACAUGGCUGGGACUGAUCACAUGGCUGGGACAGAUCACAUGCCUAAGACAGCUCAUAUGGCUGGUUCAGCUCACAAAAAUGUCUGGGAAUCUGGUCCAAACCAAACUCCCACCUGGCAAGCUAAUGUAAAAAUCACAUUCCAAAGCAUUGAUAACAAUGACAGGAUUUUCAUAAAGUUCUGUAUUGGAGUUACCUUAAUAAGAUACUAAGUAGCAUAUAUUGGCAUGUUUAGUAUGUUUUUGAAGUUCUUGGUAGCAGAUUAAAGACAAUUCACCGAACAGUUUUGUGUGAUGUUAAAUUUAGGUGGCUAAGGGGGUUAGGCGUCUGUGCCUGUGUUUGGAAGGUUUUGGGAUUGGAUCCCGUGUUUGGCUGUAUAAUCAUAUCACCAUUGGGCCCUUAACCCCAACAGGACCAGUAAUCCACCAGUCUGACCCCAAAAUCAUUCCUCACUUUGCUUUGGAUAAAAGCAUCAGAUGAAAUACUAAUUUAAAUCUGAAAUUCUUCUUCUGUUCAGUUAUUCUGAAAGCUGCUCAGGCUUGUGAACUCUUUCAAAUCAAUGCCUUUGAUAUAUACUUUUGUAGUGUACAAGACUUUUGUUUGGUACAGAUGUACUGGUCCUCUGUGAAAUUCCAAGGGUCUUCUUGACGGUGAGUCACUGUUACGUCUCGGUGUGUUCGCGGUGCUUUGCUCUGUGACUGCGUUGUGCUGCAGGACAUUCCAGUGGCAGCGGUGGUGGUUAAUUGUUCCUGUUCCUGCCGUCAGUGAUUGGCUGCGCGGCUGUAUAAAGGGGUGCUGUUCCCUUGAGAGACGAGGCUGCGCUCUUCCAUCAGCGAUACUCCGCCCCAGUCACGGUCUGUCGUCAUGACCGUUUGCUGCUUGUGUGAGAGACAGACAGACAUGGCUUUGGCUUUGUCUCUUGGUAUUUUUGUUAGUGGGUCUUGUUUUCCAUCGUUUGUUAUCCGAGCCAUUAUUUGUAUCAUUUGUAAUAAAUCUUUUGUUUUACUGAUUA